rnacentral:rRNA from 1 species
AUGUUCGAGUAUGUAAAUGUUGUCAGCAAGAUGUUUGAUAGUGAGGCUGAAGGCUAUGAAUUCUACAACAAAUAUGCUCUUGAAAAAGGUUUUAGUGUGAGGAAAAGCUACGUUGAGUGGGAUGGAUCCAACAAAUACAUAAUUUUAAGGAAAAUUGUGUGUAGUCGUCAAGGGUUUUGCGAAGAGAAGCACAUGAAAAGAAAGAUGGAAGAUAGAAAGAGGAGGCCACGAAGUUUAACUCGUGUUGGGUGUAAUGCUAAAUUGGUCAUUACGAGAUAG